GAUGAACGCUAGCUACAGGCUUAACACAUGCAAGUCGAGGGGAAACGACAUCGAAAGCUUGCUUUUGAUGGGCGUCGACCGGCGCACGGGUGAGUAACGCGUAUCCAACCUGCCCAUCACUUGGGAAUAACCUUGCGAAAGUAAGACUAAUACCCAAUGAUAUCCCACGAAGGCAUCGGAAUGGGAUUAAAGAUUUAUCGGUGAUGGAUGGGGAUGCGUCUGAUUAGCUUGUUGGCGGGGUAACGGCCCACCAAGGCAACGAUCAGUAGGGGUUCUGAGAGGAAGGUCCCCCACAUCGGAACUGAGACACGGUCCAAACUCCUACGGGAGGCAGCAGUGAGGAAUAUUGGUCAAUGGGCGAGAGCCUGAACCAGCCAAGUAGCGUGCAGGAAGACGGCCCUAUGGGUUGUAAACUGCUUUUAUAAGGGAAUAAAGUGGGUCACGUGUGACUUUUUGCAUGUACCUUAUGAAUAAGGACCGGCUAAUUCCGUG
rnacentral:rRNA from 1 species